UACGUAGGGUGCGAGCGUUGUCCGGAAUUAUUGGGCGUAAAGAGCUCGUAGGCGGUGUGUCACGUCGUUCGUGAAAACCUGCAGCUUAACUGUGGGCGUGCGGUCGAUACGGGCAUCACUGGAGUUCGGCAGGGGAGACUGGAAUUCCUGGGGUAGCGGUGAAAUGCGCAGAUAUCAGGAGGAACACCGGUGGCGAAGGCGGGUCUCUGGGCCGAUACUGACGCUGAGGAGCGAAAGCGUGGGGAGCAAACAGG
rnacentral:rRNA from 1 species